GCAAAUUUAAGACUUUAAAAAACUAAAUUGCAAAGUAAUGAAAAAGCGGAAGGGCAAAAGGUGAAAUUAGCCCUUUCGUAUAAAAACACGCGGAUCCUUGGUCGGGGGCGGGUCGGAUUGGGUCGGUUUCCCCAAAACGACGCCGUUUUGGUGGUUAAGUGGGCUUAGCUAAACGACGCCGUUUAGUGACCCCUAUUUAAACCCCAAAAAAUUUUUUAUUUUCCAUUUCAGCCUUCUUCCAAAAAAAAACCUUUUGCUCCCCACUUUCUCUCUUCCCCGAUCUCCAGCCCAGAUCUCCGAUCGCCAAUACGAUCACCGUCCGCCACGUCUCCGCUGCCGGCGACCGCCGUGUACGGCGGUCGGAAGUCAGAUUUUCCCCUUUUUCUUCGGCGCUUCGAAAGGUAUUUAUUUUCUCUUUUUUCUUUUAUACUUUUUAUAUGUGAGAUGUAUAGAAGUAUAGAUUCGAAAAUAAAUAAAAAAUAGAAAGACUAGAUCACCUUAUACCUUUGAUAUCGGCAUUUGGUUCUUCGAUUGGUGUUAUUCUUGUAUUUUUUUUUUGAAAUCGCUGCUUACAUAUGUAUUGGAAUCUAAUUUUUGUAUUGAUUUGUUUGUCCUUGAAUAUUCGAAAAGAACCCAUCCCCUUUUACAAUGGUUUCCAUUCGGCUUUUAUAGCCGAUUUUGUUACACUGUCUAUUUCUUAUUUUUUACUGCUGUUGCGUGUUCUGUUUGCUGUGCAGGUAGUGGUUGAACGGUGGAGCAGAGGCUGGUAUGGGCGAUGGGACGUUGGCGGCGCUUAGGGGGUGGAGGAGACCCUAGGUGCGGCAAUGUCAGAGGGUUGGUGGCUAAGGUUUGUGAUGGCUUUGUCCUUGCUGAAUUGGGUUUAGGGUUUCAAUUGGGUUUGGGCUAGUGUUGGGUUUUAGUGUAAAAUGGGUCUGUUGGGUAGGUUUGGGUAGUUUUUGAUUUAGUUUGGGUUUGAGAAUGAGUUAUGUGUAUUGGGUAGGUGGUGGGUAGGUGGGCUUAUGUUGUAAAUGUAACUGAGCUAAAAUUGGCUUAUAACAAGCGGGUUUAGAUCAAUUUCAAAGGUUUUGUUUAACUGUUAAUUAAAAUAAAAAGUAAAGAAUGAUUAAUUUGGGAGAGAUUUUUGAGGUAUAGAUGAUGUUAAGAGAGGUAUAAAUAAUGUGACUCUAUUCAAAUGAUUGCUUCACAUACUCCUAAUAUUUUCAAACAAUUAAACCACCAAAAGUAACAUAACUUUCCAGCUUUAGUUUCCACUUUUGCGUGAAUGGCGGAGUUAUAUUCUACUCCACCUGAGACUAUCAUAUAAGAUACAGGUAGGUCCAAUUUAGAGUCGAAAAUAUUAUGGACCCACCGCGUGGUUGUAGUGUCAACUUCCAAAGAUGAAACCUUAAGAAUGAUACAAUGUAAUCCAUCUUUUUCGAUGCUUAAAUUUGGACUUUGCAUUAACAUACCAAAAACAGUAAAAAAGAAUGGAAGUAGGGAGUGUAAAGUGCUGACAAGUUGCUAUCUUUGUCUGUUGAAGUUAUUUGAAAUCUGUUGCUAGUGUUACAGUGAUUCCAAACAUAAUUGAAACUCUCUGCACACUCUUCUCUAUUUCUUUUUUUGUUGAUUCACCUAAAAAAAGAAAAAGGACCUAUAUUACAUCCUCUUCUAAAGAUCCAUACCUCUCUUGCCUUGUCCCUGUGAUUUUUAACAUAAAAAACUGUAGAUCCUUCUUUAUAUAUACUUGUAUGUAUCAUAUUCGUCUUUAUUUUCGGCUGCUUCACAGAGGGGGAGAUCCUUCCUUCAGGCUUUUGUUCCGGAUGAUAUGUACUUGCAGAUGACUUUGAAAAGCAAAUGUUAAAGAGGGGGGGGGGAGGGGAAUGUAAAAGGGCUUGUUUAUGUAUAAAUUAGCAGAUUGUCACCAUUGGAACUGGUACUAACUAUCUCUCUCUAUUAUGUGUGUUGCUUGGGGGAGAAGGGGCCUAGAUGACAGCGGAAAUGCCACUAGCUAUGGCAGAAGUGAAGGGACUAUCUGGCAGAUUGAGUCCGUCACUGCAGAUGAACCAACGUUGGAAACAAUUGUUAUAACCAACGAUGGAUAAGAUGAAAAAUUCGUGUAGUUUUGGGGUUCGAGAAUACCUC
rnacentral:lncRNA from 1 species